UUUGUUUAAGAACAAAGCACUUACAUUUUGAUGAUAAAAAAAUAAAAAAUGUAUGAGAACACUUAGGAAAAUGUGUUUAAGUGUGCAAUAAAUUCCAAGUAUAAGAGAAGUUUUGCUUAUGGACUAAGCCAAAGCUAUGGACUCCGGUCAACGCUCUUUACUACUUAUAAACGCUUUGGAACUUGUUGAAGCUUAUGUUAUAGAUAAAACAAUUACAUGUAUUAUGAUGAUGGUAAACUAGGUGGAAGUCAAUAUUGUGGUUUGAGCCUUUGGACUGAGAUCCUCUGUACCAUCAUUGACUUGAGGUUUUAUGAAUGAUGCAUGAAAUUACUCUUUGCUAAGAAAGGAAAUAUUGUUCUGACUUAUGAAAAGAUGUAAAAUUCAUUAAGAGGCUCAAGGUCUCCAAAAUUAAAGCAUAUCAUGCAAGGUCCCCAUAGCCAUGUCACGUUUUUUGUAACAUUAUGGCUUCCCUAUCUCUUACCAAAUAGCUUGAAGUUACUAUUGGUUAUCUUAUCCUAGUCCCAUUAAUGGAAGACUCCAUAUCAAACUGAGUAUUAUCCACAACAACUUCAAAAUGUGUACAUCCACUAUGUCGUUUACCUUAUAAAUUGUACAGUUCAAAAAAAAUUAUCUUCAAGAGCUAACCGAAUAUUUUUACUACUGUUUUUUAUAUAGUGAUGUUUAAUAUUUAAUAUUUAUUCUUACCAUUGCCUUUCAAGGCUGAUGUCUGUUUAUAAUAUUUUCAGUUCAAUUCGAUCACCUAAAAAACCUUGUUCAUCAAGUCCAACUAAACCCAUGUCACCAACAUGCAACAAAUAAAUUGCCCACAGCUGAAACCACAUUUAAAUUAAGGAAACAACAAAAGAACAAGAACAAGAAAGUAUGAGAACAAGAUCUUCCGCUUUGUGGGAGAAGUAUACGUGGUUUUGAGGUAAUGAUUUUUAUUAUUAUGAAAUUGGUGUUUUUAAUGAUUGAAUUGUAUUCAGGUAGUUUUUGUUAAAUAGGUUUGGAUCUCAUAAAAAAAAUCAGAAUUUUCUUUAAUGAAUCAGUUUUGCAUUGUAUUUCGAAAACAUGGCAUUUUCACUAGGCACAUAAGACUUGCCUAGCAAAUAUUCCAAUAUUUCAGAACGGAUGCAAAUUCUAAAUUUUUUGACUUGAAGGGUUAUCAAAUAUACACUAUCUCACAAAGUAGGCUAUAUUUGGUAAGUAACUUUACUAAAGUUCAAAAAUGUGCAUUGAUUCUUUCUAUGUUU
rnacentral:lncRNA from 1 species